UGCACAAGGAUCCGAGUUCAAUGCCUAGUCUGGCAAAAAGUGUUUUAAUGUUUAAAACUACUGAAUGAAGUCCUUCCCAGAUUCUUGAAGUGCAUCCGAUAAAGAAUGCAUCAACGUAUUUCUAAUCUACCCACAUCAACUUAUUACUGAGUGAACUAGAGAAGGCAAGCCUGCAAAUUCCCUUGGUUCUGUGUGUUCCCUACUCCUAGAGACCUUCUUAGGAAGAUGACUACAGCUUGGGAGGUUCAUGGCCAUAGUCUUAUAGCUCCCCAUCACUCACAGGGGCUGAGAGUCAAGGAGAUAAAAUAUAUUUGUAAGUCUCAGGCUUCUUUGUCUCACACCCGUCCCUUCUCUUCUAACAUCACGCCGCUGCUCCUGCUUCUGAGAUGCCCAGGUGGAGUCUGGGAGACCUGAUAUACAGAGAUGGAGAAGGGUUCCAGGCCUAGGCAGCUGAUGAGAGGAACAGACAUCAGAUUCCAUAACAGACUCUAAACCACAUCGUGGGCUUGGUGCUGCUGACCCACAGGAGGAAUCUAACUCAAAACAACAGUCUGCGGUGAUUAAUCUUGGCUGUCCACUGGACCGAAGUCAGAAACACACAAGGAGGGACAUCUUCGGAUGCAGCGGGACCAGUGUGCCUCACGUUCUUGAGGCCCCCUUUUCCCUACCACGACACGCCGUGAGCCAAGGUGAACCCUGCUCUCCCGAAGCUGUUCUUUAUCAGAGUGGCAACAACAAAGGGUACUGCCUCGAAUGAAUCAUAAAGCCUUAAGAUUGGACCAAAAUAUGGAAUUGCCCUACAUAAAGACACAAAGAACCUUUUUUUUUUUUUUUUCAUGCAAAGCUGUGAUAUCUCAAAGGUCCAGGUCAAGGCUGAUGGCCUUUGUUACUAUUUUUGAAGUUAGACAAACUGUGCAUUUUAGAGAGGAUUAAAACGCCAGAUUUGUGUAAAACGAAAAUCCUCCGGAGCAGAUACAAGAAGAAACUCCAAGCCUGUGGGCGUCUACGCUAAGCCAAACAUCUGGAUGAAAGAUAAGAACUGCAACCA